GACGAACGCUGGCGGCGUGCCUAAUACAUGCAAGUAGGACGCAGUUGCGAACGGGUGAGUAACGCGUAGGUAACUACCUAUUAGAGGGGGAUAACUAUUGGAAACGAUAGCUAAUACCGCAUACUAGUAGAUGGACCUGCGUUGUAUUAGCUAGUAGGUAGGGUAAUGGCCUACUUAGGCAACGAUACAUAGCCGACACUGUAGGGUGAGCGGCAAUCGUGGGACUUAGACACGGCCCAGAGGCCGUGGGGAGGGAGCAGGAAGGAUUCGUCCGCAAGGGGGGGAACCCUGACCGAGCAACGCCGCGUGAGGGAAGAAGGUUUUCGGAUCGUAAAGCUCUGUUUGUAAGAAAGCGGUACUUAACCAGAAAGGGACGGCUAACUACGUGCCAGCAGCCGCGGUAAUUC
rnacentral:rRNA from 1 species